rnacentral:tRNA from 1 species
CCUUAAUUAGCUUAUAUAAAGUUUAUGACUCUUAAUCAUACUAAAGUAAUUUUACUAUUAAGGU